AAGUCGUAACAAGGUUUCCGUAGGUGAACCUGCGGAAGGAUCAUUCACAAUGAGUGUUUAAUGGCACUCCAAAUCCAUUACCCACCUUGUGUGCAUUGUCGGGAGAACUCUUAAUCCCAAUCUUCUCUCUGAAAAGGGGGGGGGAGAGGGAAAGAGGGAACUCCAUUUCAUUCAUACUCUGUUCUUCUUCAGUAUCUGUCUACUUCAAUAGAGUAUAAAACUCGAAUACAACUUUCAACAACGGAUCUCUUGGCUCUC
rnacentral:misc_RNA from 1 species